UACGUAGGGACCAAGCGUUGUCCGGAAUCAUUGGGCGUAAAGAGCGUGUAGGCGGCUUGUUAAGUCUUGCGUGAAAUCUCGGGGCUCAACCCCGAGCGGUCGUGAGAAACUGGCAGGCUAGAGUGCGGGAGAGGAGGGUGGAAUUCCUGGUGUAGCGGUGAAAUGCGCAGAUAUCAGGAAGAACACCCGUGGCGAAGGCGGCUCUCUGGAACGCAACUGACGCUGAGACGCGAAAGCGUGGGGAGCAAACAGG
rnacentral:rRNA from 1 species